ensembl:lncRNA
AUGCAUAUUCUUGGAACUAUAUUCAUUUUUAUUCUGGCACUCAAAGUCUGUCUAGGUUUCUACCUUCAGAUGUCGGAGGUCCAGGCAUAUCUAGGAGAAAGCGUGAUCUUGUCCUGCAAUGGUUCAGGAUUCCCUGUGGAAGAGUUGCACGUUCACUGGGAGGCAAUGGGCAAAGAUGUCAUCUCUCUGCGUGGAGAUGUUGUCAUGGUCGGGAGAGGGUUUGAAGACCGGGUGAACUUCCUCAGUGAUCCUACAGAAUCUGAGGACUUAUCCCUCAUUCUGUCAGAUGUGAUGCUGAAUGAUGGAGAUAUAUAUGAAUGUCUCUGGGAGGGAACAAAACCCAUUUGCUCUAUAUUACUACAGGUGUCGACACCAGCUUUUUUUACCAGUUAUGUGGAAGCGUUUGAGGGUGACAGUAUCACUUUGGAGUGCUUUGGAAAUAUUCCUAAAAAUAAACCAUGGGAAGACAUUUAUGUCCAAUGGCUGAAAGAUGACAGAGAAAUCCUGCGGUUGAGCUCUGGAAAGAUGGACUUCGGUAUUGAUUACAGCAUCAUGAAAUUACCGUCCAAACACGACAUCAGUCGCGGUAUCUUCUCAUUGAGCAUCACGUCAAUGUGACAAGCAGCACAGAGUCUCUCUCCAGCUCUAGCGUGGUCUCUCCUACUUACACAAGCACAAGCGUGCCAGUUUGGGCGUCUGUUGUGAGUGUUGAGACUAAAGUGAGUGCUCAGACCGAAAUCAGCAGCUCUGUGUCAAAUCACACAUAUGCUGGCAGCAUUCAGACUCAAACCAUCAGCUCUCUGCCAAUGCUGACAUAUGCUGAAAGAGCCGAAGGUACUGUACUAAUGCUGAUCAGGGCCACAAAGACUACAAACACUCACAGCGACCUCCUCACAUAUCCUGAUUAGUAGUCAAUAAAUUUCUUUCAGUGUUUGAUUAUUUAAAGUUG